CAAUAGCGUAUAUUUAAGUUGUUGCAGUUAAAAAGCUCAUAGUCGGAUUUUGGCUGAGAACGAUCGGUCCGCCGUUAGGUGUGCACUGAUUGGUCUCAGCUUCCUGGUGAGGAGGUGUGCUUCACGGCCACUUAGUCACCGUGGUUACUUUGAAAAAAUUAGAGUGUUCAAAGCGGGCUUACGCUUGAAUAUAUUAGCAUGGAAUAACACCAUAGGACUCCUGUCCUAUUUCGUUGGUCUCGGGACGGGAGUAAUGAUUAAGAGGAACAGUUGGGGGCAUUCGUAUUUCAUUGUCAGAGGUGAAAUUCUUGGAUUUAUGAAAGACGAACUUCUGCGAAAGCAUUUGCCAAGGAUGUUUUCAUUGA
rnacentral:rRNA from 1 species